rnacentral:tRNA from 1 species
AUUGAGGUAGCUUAUAUUAAAGCGUAGGUGUUACGUAUUUAAUAAGGAAAUUAUUUCCCCUUAAUA